rnacentral:tRNA from 1 species
CGCGGAGUGGAGCAGCUAGGUAGCUCGCUGGGCUCAUAACCCAGAGGUCGCGCGGUUCGAAUCCCGCCUCCGCAAC